GUGCUUCCUUCAACAGCACAUAUACUAAAAUUGGAAUGACACAGAGAAGAUUAGCAUAAUUCCUGCACAAGGAUGACAUGCAAAAUCAUGAAAUGUUCCAUAUUUUU
rnacentral:snRNA from 1 species